rnacentral:lncRNA from 1 species
AUGCAGUUGGUGUUGGAGAUGGAGACCACAGCUCGACUGGAGCGGUGGUUUCCUAGAAACAUGAUUGUUUAUUGGCGUUGAUCUCAGUCUGGUGAGGACUUCUUUACUGAUAAUGUCAAGUUCAGGUUACCCUCCCAACCAAGGAGCAUUCAGCACAGAACAAAGUCGUUAUCCUCCUCACUCUGUAAAGUAUACGUUUCCCAGCACCCGCCACCAGCAGGAUCCAACAUUUGGAGGCAAACAUGAAGCUCCAUCCUCUCCAAUUUCGAGGCAACCGUGUGGAGAUGAUCAAAAUGCUUCACCUUCAAAACUUUCAAAGGAAGAGUUAAUACAGAGUAUGGAUCGUAUAAAUCGAGAAAUUGCAAAAGUAGAACAGCAGAUCCUUAAACUGAAGAAGAAACAAGUAAAAGUCUUUGCUUAUAAUAUUCUAAGAAUGUGUGUUUUUCUCCCUACAGAAGAUAUUUUUGAGUUUUCCAUAUUAUGAAACUGUACAUAAAAGGAAUCAUGCCUUAUAUAUUCUGGCUUGCUGUUUUUUGCUGCUAUUGUGGUUUUCUUUCAUUCAUUCAUUUUCCUUGCUGCACUG